AGAGUUUGAUCAUGGCUCAGAUUGAACGCUGGCGGAAUGCUUUACACAUGCAAGUCGAACGGCAGCAUAGGUGCUUGCACCUGAUGGCGAGUGGCGAACGGGUGAGUAAUACAUCGGAACGUGCCCAGUCGUGGGGGAUAACGUAGCGAAAGUUACGCUAAUACCGCAUACGAUCUAAGGAUGAAAGCGGGGGACCGUAAGGCCUCGCGCGAUUGGAGCGGCCGAUGUCAGAUUAGGUAGUUGGUGGGGUAAAGGCUCACCAAGCCAACGAUCUGUAGCUGGUCUGAGAGGACGACCAGCCACACUGGAACUGAGACACGGUCCAGACUCCUACGGGAGGCAGCAGUGGGGAAUUUUGGACAAUGGACGCAAGUCUGAUCCAGCCAUUCCGCGUGCAGGAUGAAGGCCCUCGGGUUGUAAACUGCUUUUGUACGGAACGAAAAGGCUCUUCCUAAUACGAGGGGCUCAUGACGGUACCGUAAGAAUAAGCCCCGGCUAACUACGUGCCAGCAGCCGCGGUAAU
rnacentral:rRNA from 1 species